GCAGUCGGCCUUCCCAUGAGGAAGGCAUUGGUAGCCAGGGAGGAGAGGAGGGGAGCGGUGGGGUAGAAGGAGGUGAACGGGGUGGAAUGGGGCUGGGCUCGGAGUAGGAGUCACCGUUUCCUCAGCCAUGCUGCUGUUUCCUUCUCCUCAGAACACGCUGCGCUGAUGUAACACCCGGGUGUCCCGUGCCCUGGCUCCUGGAAGCAGGGAUGGAUUCCAGUAGAUUUCUUCAAAAAUCCGGAGAAAGACCUCAAGAAAAACAGAGACUGGCUUUUGAAUUGAAAUGAGACACAAAAGAUAGUGUGCUCUGGAGUCACACUACUUAGAAUUGAAUCCUGGCUCCACCAUCUACUCACUCUACAAAUUUAGGUAAAUUACUGAGUCACUUUUUGCUUUAGCUUUUUAAUCCAGUUUGCAAGAAGGUAAUAACAGCAUCUAACUCAUAGGGUUGU
rnacentral:lncRNA from 1 species